CUGUGGAAUUGGUGCUAUUUGUAUCAACAUUGUGGGUGGCUGUGUUUGUGAAUGUCCACCAGGCACUAGUGGAGAUCCUUACAAAAAUGGAUGUCGAGACUCACCAGCUUGUUUGUCUAACUCUGACUGUCCAAGUAAUACCAUUUGUGAUAAGAAAGGGGGAAAUUGUAUAGAUCCCUGUACCACGUCAUGGUGUGGCCCUAAUGCUUACUGUGUACCCGAGAAUCAUAGAGCCAAGUGUAUUUGUCAACCUGGUUUUUCAGGUGACCCUGAUGAUCUGAACAAAGGAUGUGUUUCUC